AACUUCUACAACGGAUGGAUUCCAGACGAAUUUCUACAAAAGCCGGAUCUCUACCCUGAACUUCUAUUGCAGGUGGACUUCAUCCGAACUCCUAUAAGGGUCGGGCUCUGUCCAAACUUCUACAGUGGAUGGAUCACAGACGAGCUUCUACAACGAACAGGCUCCACCAGCAGGAUCUCUACUCCGAACUUCUUUCGGACUUCAUCAAGGAUCGAGCUUCUCCAACGGUGGAA
rnacentral:lncRNA from 1 species